CGUUCCUACGGGGCGCAGCAGUGGGGAAUAUUGCACAAUGGGGGAAACCCUGAUGCAGCAACGCCGCGUGAGUGAAGAAGGUUUUCGGAUUGUAAAGCUCUGUUAGCAGGGAAGAGGAAGGACGGUACCUGCAGAGGAAGCCACGGCUAACUGCGUGCCAGCAGCCGCGGUAAUACGUAGGUGGCAAGCGUUGUUCGGAAUAACUGGGCGUAAAGGAUGCGUAGGCGGUUAAACAAGUUAUAUGUUAAAUAUAUAGGCUCAACCUGUAGAAAGCUUUUAAAA
rnacentral:rRNA from 1 species